rnacentral:misc_RNA from 1 species
AGUGAUCGCUAGAAACCCUGCAUCAGAACGGCCUUUUUGUUGUUAUUUGUUUUUCUCAGGGUUAUUGAACAGAGGGAUUGUAUGAUGGAGGUUGGAGAAACGUUGUGGAAAGUCUUGAUACUAUCACAGCUAGUUUGCCAUGCUGGUUUUCGUUGUACGAGUUCAGGUAUGCUCUGGCUAGCUCGUGGAUGAAGCGCUCCUGUUCUCGUCUCUGUCCUGAGCAUCGUGCACGCGAAACAGAAGUCACCGAACGCCACCAAGACGACUGUGUCCUGGAUAAUCCAUUGAAUUCCAUGCAUUCUAUUGGGAACACGGCGAAGGAAGCCAUAGGAUGUGAGGCUUCCGUGUGGUUCAUACGAAUGCUGAUGAAGACACGCUGAUAGACACAGGAGAAAAACGCUCGUCGUGAAGACUGUCGUGCAAUAAACAACACUCUAUUGAUCUCGUAUGGACGCGUGGACGUUUGUUACCGGAGCGUGAGGUGUUCGUCUCAAUCGCUGAGACUCGAAUCUGGAGGGAUGGUACACCUGUGAAUGCCUACUCAAAGAGGGACAAAUCGCUAUUCCUACAAAGGAGAUUAGCGAGCAGGACGGCACCAGCUGGCCUGGGUGCGAGGCUUCGGUGUCGCCAACACCAAAUAGCAAAAGAGCCGUGAUCACUCAACUCCUCACGAUGCGUCGAAGCGCUUUUCGGCUUCUCCUUUCCACAUUCUUCUGAUACGCUCUUGGACAACGUCGCUCUCUGUCACGCAAGAGCGGCCACGGAUUGUGCAGCUGAGCUUGGCAUUGAGCUGAUGUUUGCGUGAGCCUAUUCGUCCUGGUUCCGUCCAGCUGAAGGAGCCUGCUCAGUUUGUCGAACCAUGGAUGGAUGCUCACGACUCAUUCGACGAGCCGUCCGCAUCUGUGACACCAUUCUUGGACAAGCCAUUCUCCACCUUUGCAAGCCAUGAGCUGAUGCGUCGCCGCGCUGCUCGUGCCCGGACGGGAGCUGAGAGGCGCGCUUCCGUCCGUGGGCGAGCUCUCGGCGGAUACGACGAUGGAGAGGUGCUUGAGGAGUAGUCGAUACAUACAUAGAAAGGGCGAGUUUCAGUGCAACCUUCCACCCAGUGCGCCUGAGUCUCCACUGGGAGAACGACAUACAGAUAUGCUCGAUAGAGAUGGAAUGCAGGGCGCCUGCCAGGAACUAGAGAAAGAAAAGCGACCACCGGGCGAACCAGAGAAAGAGCCUUCCGAGAAUAGGGUAAGGAGCGACGGGGAGGAACAGAUGUCGGAGCGACAAGAUCUGUCUCAAAGCGAUGCGACCGCUUCCCCAAGAAAUGCACCACCCGCGAGAAUCUGUCAAGCCGUGAGAUGCGAGACGCCAUUCAGGAUCGCGCAGCUUCGUACUCAACGAAGGCUCGCCCAGCUGCGCUCGCCCAGACGCGCCUCGUCAAGCAUCUGCUCAUCGGAGGGCUGGACGCACGGCCGCCAGUUGUCUACAUUCCUCUCAUAACCUUUCGAUGAAACGUUCGUGCGACAACAGAUGGCCAGAAAACAAGAUGCAAUACGGCCUGGUCGUGGCAUCCAGGGUUUGAGAACACGCCACCCAGCAUGCCGUGACGCUUCGUAGGCCGGCGUCUGUAAUGAGAACGUCCGCAGCGCAGGUGCCGGCAUGUCUGGGGCCAACCUCAAACACUACAUGCCGGCCAAUGUCGAGCGCCCCAUGCAGCGCGCCCUCUGCGUGUCGCAGCCUCACCUCAGUGGUCCAGAACAGGGGAGAUAGGUUGACGGGAUUCUUGGAUAUCGAUGGAGGCAAAUGACGAGCUGGAUACGCAAGAGCUCCAACUGGUAUCGACUUCGAAAAGAAAAGCAGCAACGAGAGCCAGAAUCGCCCCAGAUCGCCCGACGAUAUCGUUUAGUGCUCGGCGUCGCACCUGCAGAUAUCGUAUCCGAAAAGUGGCUGAAGCGCACUGCCUGCCUGCCUGCCUGCCUGCCUCGUUUGGCUCCUGUGCUACCACGUUUCUCUGGACAGGUGCUUCCAGAGCUGAGCAGCCCCCCUCUCGGGAUCCGACCGUCCGGUGCACGUCACGCGUCUAUUCGACGUGGUCUCGGUAUGCCAGAUCAAGGUGAAUCGCGCGUCAGUAGACACUUGUGUACUGGAUGGCCUCCUCUGUGCGGUGCCGCUGCUCUCUGCGAGUAAGCCUGAAGCGUCCGAGCAGCCACACGAAGAGCACUGGCGGCGCUCGUUCAAGAUUUCUCGUUUCCAGUGACGACGGCGACCGACGGGAUACCAAGCUCGACGGUCUUUGUGACGCUUGUGAAUCCGAAACCUGCGUCGAGCCACGAAACGCAUAUCCAACGGAUCCGGGCACAUGAAGGGAAAGGUCACGAGCCGUGCGUCGAUCCCCGCUGGGGGGAAAUCAUCACCGCCACCGAUUAUCUAUUGAAAGAUGGCGGAGGUCACAACCUGAACGGAAAGCGGAUGAACCUGCUCAACCUCUUCAAUCGCUCGGUAUGAGCGGCAGUCGGACGUGAUGGGCGCUAGAAUGCAUACGAACAGCAAGGGGAGCGGUGGCGGCAUCAGGACCCAAGUCGACGCUCCAGGCACCGUAUGGAGCCGAGGGUUAUGCUUCCUAUAAUUUAUUCCGAGCGUCCAUGAGCGACCAAAUGCAUCGUGUGGAGGGUCUUUGGUGGGCGUCCUUGGUACUACGCUGAGGUCGCAAACGGUGUCGCUUCUACAGAGGCGGGAAACUCGCAUUCACCGGCAUUAUCGGUGAAUUCCAAGCGAAAAUCCCCGGCAGGUCCGAUCGUUUCCUGGCGGCAGCCUAUGACGCUGGAUGUUCAGUAGCGCGCAAAGGACGCGGACCUGCUCAUGCUUCGACGGGAGUGUCCAAUAAGCUCAGGUGCCUAUGCCGCACGCUUCCUGUCGGUGCGUUCAGCACGACGUACAUGCGCCACGAGUGCGGGUGCAUGCUGAAAAACCGACAGACAAGAACGGUGCGAAACAGAGCUGCAUGCGCGAGAUGGUGCACUGUCAGCCGCGCAAACGGCAGAUCACGAAGUAAUCAAAGCUGAGAAGCUCGCUAUGCUUACAUUUCUUCAAUAAGAGCGCUUACGUGCAUGUACUGUGUCUAUCGAGCGUUGGAAAACCCCCAUUCCAGAUCUCUGGGAACGAUCUCGUGCUUACAUUUCUUCAAUAAGAACACAUGCAUGUACUGUGUCUAUCGAGCGUUGGAAAGCCCCCAUUCCAGAUCUCUGGGAACGAUCUCAUGAUUUCGGAGCGUCCAGUGGCUUUAUGUGUCGCGCGAUCAUUCAGGUAAAUCGUGUCGUACACUGUAUGCGCCUCUUAUUGAAACGUUGCAGACUUUCAGUGAGAAGAAUCCUAGCGACCCGGAGGUGCGGCAUUUCGAUUGCGUCCUGGAGCGGAAUACUGGUACGGUAUGAAAUAGGCAUCCAGGAAAACUGCAGCGCCCUGAGUCCACACUAGGAUUGUGUAUCCUUGGUCAUUGGUGAACGAUAAUAGCUUUCCAUGAUCCGAUAUGACUGACUAUAUGGCCUCCAUUUGUGUGCUGGUAUCCCGCACCAACCCUAAUCUGAGCAUGCGCCGGCAUCCGCAUACUGAGACAACGGUCUUCUGUCCGUGAGCAAACCUUACAGAAGAAUAUUCAGGGAAUGUUCAAGUAGAGGACAGUCCUCCUGCACUUGGCAAUCCGAGUUGCAUACGAAGGGAGCGAACGCCAAGGCCAACGCGGCACCCCCUGCAGGAAAAUUCAAAGCUGAACAUAUGCGCAGAGUUUGUGGACAAAAUUUUUCCCGGAUCCGCGUCCAAGCUUUGCAUCCCCUACUCAUCGUGAUCGCUGGGUCGGCAGCUUUGCAUAACGAUAAGCUGGUAGGUAGCCCCGUUGGACCGCCGUGCCGUAACAGCGCUGAAGCUGACGGCAUCAGCAGCGGCGGUGGCAGGCCUACCAAAAACCCAACCUCGAACUACUGAUGAUGAUGAUGCAAGCACAGAGCUUGGCAUCUGGGACAGCGUCACUUUCGAAUGUGUCCCGAUGGCAACCGCCUGCCCACAUGUGUUGACGUACCUUGCAACCGAUUACAGUAACAGUCGUGGAGACGCACGUCCAGGAGUCGUAUGCGUUGACGCUCUCGGCGUUCAACGCAGGGCGUCCACCGCGCUACGAAACGCUGUUGCUUGCCAUUGCAUGGUAACGGAGUGCCGCUCCCGGAACCCGGCAACCGUAUGAUUUCUGGCGACUCUCCGAGUUCGGUUUCUAUUCAGACGCUCGCUGACAGCGGGAGUAGGGGUGAGCUGAGGUGCGCUCGGCAGCCACGAAGCGCUCUCUCAGUGAAGGACCCUCCGUGUACGCGUAUGCGAGUUCGUUUCGGGUAGACCGAUUCGAUCGAGGCGGACUUUAGAACUCCGGAUACACACGGCAGCAUCCGACGACACGGAUCGGAGAUUUAGAUUACCGUAACCCCAAGGACCGUUGGAUCGAGGCAGAGUUUUCUGGAUGCCUUGACCCUACCGAAUUCCAGGAAAGAGAUCUCAGUUCCAUCACAGACGCUUUGUCGAUGCAGCAGGCCCUAGUCUGUCCUCCGCACUCUAAUACAAGUAUGACGGGUUCCAUGACCGAGCGACACUGGAUGGACAGCUGUCGCCGCGGACGCCGCACAGAGACAGCGUGGUGGUUUGGCGAUGCUUGCGCGGGUGCCUUCUCACGGCAUGCAUCGGGAACUACAAAAAACGACUCCGAGCGAAGUCGUGAAAUGCGAGACGGGAAUUUGCAAAUGAGUGCUGUACCAGCAUCGUCAUGACGCAAAGGGUGAGCAGCAUUUGAGCUGCUUCAGAUUCUAAGCACCGUAGAAAACGCAGAUGAAAUCAGAAGCGAGUAUGAAACACUACCGGGCGUGCAGCGCUUUCCCCAGACGCGAAGAAACUCGGAUCCAUUAACGUCAAAUUGUAACAAGUCCUUGCAGCGCAUUGCGUCUCACAUGCACCCCGAGCACUGCACGGCGGAACAGCCAUAGCGCGCCCCUUUUAAACCCGUGCCAG